rnacentral:rRNA from 1 species
AGAGCGAACGCUGGCGGCGUGCUUAACACAUGCAAGUCGAGUGCGCGCCUGUAGCAAUACAGGUGGCGCACGGCGCACGGGUGCGUAACACGUGGGUAAUCUGCCCUUCGAAGGGGAAUAACUCGCCGAAAGGCGAGCUAAUUCCGCAUAACAUUCCGAGAACUUCCGUUUUCGGAUUCAAAGGCGUAAGUCGUCGGAGGAGGAGCCCGCGCACGAUUAGCUAGUUGGUGAGGUAAUGGCUCACCAAGGCUAUGAUCGUUA